rnacentral:rRNA from 1 species
AACGAACGCUGGCGGCAGGCUUAACACAUGCAAGUCGAACGGUUGUAGCAAUACAGCAGUGGCAGACGGGUGAGUAACACGUGGGGACCUUCCUAGGGGUACGGAACAACUCAGGGAAACUUGAGCUAAUACCGUAUACGUCCGUGAGGAGAAAGAUUUAUCGCCCUUAGACGGGCCCGCGUCGGAUUAGCUAGUUGGUGGGGUAACGGCCUACCAAGGCGACGAUCCGUAGCUGAUCUUAGAGGAUGAUCAGCCACACUGGGACUGAGACACGGCCCAGACUCCUACGGGAGGCAGCAGUGGGGAAUCUUGGACAAUGGGCGCAAGCCUGAUCCAGCCAUGCCGCGUGAGUGAAGAAGGUCUUCGGAUUGUAAAGCUCUUUUACCAGGGACGAUAAUGACGGUACCUGGAGAAUAAGCCCCGGCAAACUUCGUGCCAGCCGCCGCGGUAAGAC